rnacentral:rRNA from 1 species
AGAGUUUGAUUCUGGCUCAGAACGAACGCUGGCAGCGUGGAUUAGGCAUGCAAGUCGAACGGGAAGCGGUUGUUUCAAUCUUCGGAGAGAAAGAGCCGUGGAUAGUGGCGAAAGGGUGAGUAACGCGUGGGUAACCUGCCCCUGAGUUGGGGACAACGUCUGGAAACGGGCGCUAAUACCGAAUACGGUACGCCGUCGCAUGGCGGCGCUAUUAAAGGUGGGGAUUCUUCGGAACCUGCCGCUUUGGGAGGGACCCGCGUCCCAUCAGUUUGUUGGUAGGGUAACGGCCUACCAAGGCUUACGGGUAGCCGGCCUGAGAGGGUGAUCGGCCACACUGGGACUGAGACACUGCCCAGACUCCUACGGGAGGCUGCAGUCGAGGAUCAUUCGCAAUGCGCGAAAGCGUGACGAUGCGACGCUGCGUGGAGGAUGAAGGCUUUCGGGUUGUAAACUCCUGUCAUGAGGGAAAAGACGCACGAAUGUUAAUAACAUUUGUGCCCGAUGGUACCUCAAGAGGAAGCGACGGCUAACUCUGUGCCAGCAGCCGCGGUAAUACAGAGGUCGCUAGCGUUGUUCGGAUUUACUGGGCGUAAAGCGUACGUAGGUGGUUUCGUGUGUCGGGUGUGAAAUCCCACAGCUCAACUGUGGAACUGCAUCCGAAACUGCGGAACUUGAGUGCAGGAGGGGAGAGCGGAAUUCUUGGUGUAGCGGUGAAAUGCGUUGAUAUCAAGAGGAACACCGGUGGCGAAGGCGGCUCUCUGGAAUGUUACUGACACUGAGGUACGAAAGCUGGGGGAGCAAACAGGAUUAGAUACCCUGGUAGUCCCAGCCGUAAACGGUGCACACUUGGUGUGGGAGGUAUUGACCCCUUCCGUGCCGGAGCUAACGCGUUAAGUGUGCCGCCUGGGGAGUACGGCCGCAAGGCUAAAACUCAAAGAAAUUGACGGGGGCCCGCACAAGCGGAGGAGCAUGUGGCUUAAUUCGAUGCAACGCGAAGAACCUUACCUGGGCUUGACAUGGUGACCCUUCGGGGGUGGGGGUGAAAGCUCCUUUUACAAUCACAGGUGCUGCAUGGCUGUCGUCAGUUCGUGCCGUGAGGUGUUGGGUUAAGUCCCGCAACGAACGCAACCCUUGUGUUUAGUUGCCACCGGUGGUGAUGAGCCGCCGAGCACUCUAGACAGACUGCCCGUACAAGCGGGAGGAAGGUGGGGAUGACGUCAAGUCAGUAUGGCCCUUACGCCCAGGGCUGCACACGUGCUACAAUGGUCGGUACAAUGGGAUGCUAUAUCGUGAGGUGGAGCAAAUCCCCAAAGCCGGCCCAAGUUCGGAUUGGAGUCUGCAACUCGACUCCAUGAAGUCGGAUUCGCUAGUAACGCCGUAUCAGCUACGACGGCGUGAAUACGUUCCCGGGCCUUGUACACACCGCCCGUCACAUCAUGAAAGCCGUCUGCACCCGAAGUCGCUGAGCUAACCAUUUAUGGAGGCAGGUGCCGAAGGUGUGGGUGGUGAUUGGGAUGAAGUCGAAACAAGGUA